CGGUUAUAUCACGUACAAACAAGUUCUCGUACGAUCACUGAAGUUAAGCAUCGUCGAGCCUGGUCAGUACCUAGAUGAGUGACUGCUUGAGAAUACCUGGUGCUGUAA